CGGACGAGCGAGCAACCACGGAACGGGACCCCGCGAUCCUUUUUUGACACGACGAGAAAGGAUAAGAGGAAGGAAAAAAGAGUUGCAUAGCGUAAACACGCACGAUACACGUGUAGAAUUUUUUUCUUACGAUUUAAUACCAUCGAUAUUAACACCCUCGUGAGUGAGUUUCAGAGUGAGAGGGGUACAGAGAGAGAAACAGUGCCAUAUCUCAAUUCGUCGUCGUUAAUUCAACAACAACAAAAACAACAACAACAACAACAACAGAUCUUUGUUGCAUUAAUAUUUUCCUUCGUCCCUCUGUUCGACGAAAUUUAACCGAAAAUCGUUGUUUUUGACAUUUGACAACUUGGGUUACCAGUUUGCCUAUUGAUACGGAUAUCUUGUUUGUUGUUCGGCUGCUACUACAUCGUCGAAAAAAGUGUGAAAACAGUGACGUAGAGGAGAAGAGAGAGAUAUUUUAUUGAUAGAAAAAUACGAGGAGAGGUGUUGUCCGUAAGAGGAAAAGAAACAUUAGAGGUUUUAUUUAUUUGUCACUCUGAUGACAGUAUACAGCGUUCUUUUUCUCUCUUACUCUCUAUCUCUUUCUCUCCUUGUAUGUAUGUAUCGAGCUCUUUAAAAGUAGUAAAGAAGUAUAACAAGGUCUUUCGAAACGAAGGAUAGAGAGAAAGUUAACGCAGCUGGUGGUGUUGUUAGAAAAAAUCUUCACUACUUGCUUUCUCCCCGAGUCCUUAUCGGCUGGUGAGAAUCACAAAAGAGUUUAAACAUCGACUGCUACUAUUACUACUAUUACUACUACUACUACUACUAUUACUACUUAUUUUUUUCGAAACGUAUUGCCGACCAAUCGGGCAAGGUAUUUCACGUGCGUUUAUCAGCGCCACCAACGAGGAAAAUCGAGCAGUGCUUAAGGAUCGUUCGAACGUGUCGUGUCGUGUGUUUUGAAAGAUCUAUUAAAAACGUGUUUACCGUCAAUAAAAGAAGAUUUUGUGUUCGUUCGUUCGUUCGUUAAGAAAAACUCGCCACGCGACGCGAACGCGAGUGCAUCGUGUCAACCGAUUCUUUUCAUCGGGAAGAUAAGAAACGAGAAAGAAAAAGAAAAAGAAUACUAUCCUCCAACAGGAUACCUCAGAGCAUUAUCUCGCUAUCAACUCAAAUUCCAACGCUUGUGCAGUGAUUCCAUAUUAUUAUUACGAAUAACCAAUCGAUAAUUCAUACGCGAUAUUUCUUCCUCGACAUUUCGUUAGAAAUUUGAAGACAAUCGGAUUAACGGUAAUCGCGCGACACCUGAUUUUUCCAUCACUUGGUUUGUGGUAUUGUCCCAAGGAUAUUUUCAUUUGAUCACGUGUAAUCAAAGUUUUGUGUGUCGUAGUUAAAACGAGAAAAAGUUUUGGCAUAUGGUAUAAUAAUCGUGAUAAACGACGAGUGACGUUUCGAAUAAUUAUAUAGUGGAAAAAGUGGAAGGAAGAAAGAAAUAAAGAAAGAAAUAAUAAAUCGUCGUGUUGUUGUUGUUCGAACAAUAAUAUAAUUAUCAUUGUUUAUACAAGUACAUCGAAUUUCGUGUUAAAUAACAGUUAAACGUGAUCCUCGCGAGUGUGCCAACAAUUUAGGAAAAGAAGAUCUUGGAUAAGAUACGUCGUCUCUUCUUUUUAUCUCUUUUUCUCUCUCUCUCUCACUGUCUCUCGCUCUGUCUCUCUCUCUUUCUCUCUCUCUUUUCUCUCUCUACCUCAUCUUGAUUCUUUUCGAAAUAUCAAGUGGGUAUUUAUUUACGCUUGGUGCACGCCGGUUUACAGAAGGAAACAACCGUAGCAAUCGAUUUGUAAUCCGUUAAAUCUACGUCCUUAUUCACGUGUGUGCUUUUCUGUGUGCGUGUUGAUCGUUUUGUCGUUCGAUACAUCGUUAUAAUUUCACGCUCGCUCGUUGUCCGUGUUAACGAUCGAUAGCUCGUUCGUAAUUAUCGUCGAGCCGCGCUAGCCGGAACAUCUGGUGCACCUCUCCGUCUAUCAUCGUGUCUUCGAAAACACCGGCAACCGAACGCAACGUAAAGUGAACGAACGAACGAACGAGCGAGCGAACUAACGGGCAUACAUUUAUUUUAUUCGAAUUUGCAAAUUCAAGAUUAACGCUUACCCUCGCCGAAUUUCUAACGCGCUACGCGAGUGCAGUGUGCUACGAAAUUAGACGCGAAUCGGUUCGAAUUCAGAAGUCAUCGGGACGAAUACCUGGACAUUGUCUCAUCGGUCACUCGCCAAAGGUGACCGACAGGACGCAGACUUUUUUCUUGGAAGCGGUACGCAAACGGUCUCAAGAUUCAGCUCGACACGAUGCCUUGGUUCAUCCUAUUUCUCCUGCUGUUGGCUGUGAUGGAGGCCUUCCCUCGGGAGGCCACCUGUUCCCACCUGCCGGACAUCUAUUGGAACUCCACCAAUCCAAUGCUCGUUAACGAUCACCGAGAACCAUGGAAAUGGCCAAUCACGAAUAAAG
rnacentral:lncRNA from 1 species